rnacentral:rRNA from 1 species
CACGUAGGGGCGCGAGCGUUUGUCCGGAAUUAUUGGGCGUAAAGAGCUCGUAGGCGGCCUGUUGCGUCCGCUGUGAAAGCCCGGGGCUUAACCCCGGGUCGCAGUGGAUACGGGCAGACUAGAGGCAGGUAGGGGAGAACGGAAUUCCCGGUGUGAGCGGUGAAAUGCGCAGAUAUCGGGAGGAACACCGGUGGCGAAGGCGGUUCUCUGGGCCUGUACUGACGCUGAGGAGCGAAAGCGUGGGGAGCGAACAGG